AAUGCACCAAUUUGUAAGUCGCUCUGGAUAAGAUCGUCUGCUAAAUGACGUAAA
rfam:Salmo salar isolate Sally breed double haploid chromosome ssa18, whole genome shotgun sequence.